AAUAGAUACCCCGGUAGUCCACGCCGUAAACGAUGAGUGCUAAGUGUUAGGGGGUUUCCGCCCCUUAGUGCUGCAGCUAACGCAUUAAGCACUCCGCCUGGGGAGUACGGUCGCAAGACUGAAACUCAAAGGAAUUGACGGGGGCCCGCACAAGCGGUGGAGCAUGUGGUUUAAUUCGAAGCAACGCGAAGAACCUUACCAGGUCUUGACAUCCCAUUGACCGCUAUGGAGACAUAGCUUUCCCUUCGGGGACAGUGGUGACAGGUGGUGCAUGGUUGUCGUCAGCUCGUGUCGUGAGAUGUUGGGUUAAGUCCCGCAACGAGCGCAACCCUUGUUCUUAGUUGCCAUCAUUUAGUUGGGCACUCUAAGGAGACUGCCGGUGACAAACCGGAGGAAGUGGGGAUGACGUCAAAUCAUCAUGCCCCUUAUGACCUGGGCUACACACGUGCUACAAUGGACGGUACAAACGGUUGCCAACCCGCGAGGGGGAGCUAAUCCGGAUAAAACCGUUCUCAGUUCGGAUUGUAGGCUGCAACUCGCCUAC
rnacentral:rRNA from 1 species